UUCCGGUUGAUCCUGCCGGAGGACAUUGCUAUUGGGAUUCGAUUUAGCCAUGCUAGUCGAGCGAGUUCAGACUCGCGGCGAAUAGCUCAGUAACACGUGGCCAAGCUCCCCUUCAGUCAGCGAUACCCUCGGGAAACUGAGGUUAACAGCUGAUACAAAACGCCAGCUGGAAUGCGGCGUUUCAGAAAGACAUCGCUGAAGGAUGCGGCUGCGGCCGAUUAGGUAGACGGUGGGGUAACGGCCCACCGUGCCAGUAAUCGGUACGGGUGAUGAGAGUCAGAGCCCGGAGACGGAAUCUGAGACAAGAUUCCGGGCCCUACGGGGCGCAGCAGGCGCGAAACCUUUACACUGCACGGAAGUGCGAUGGGGGAAUCCCAAGUGCGAGGGCAUAUUAGCCCUCGCUUUUCUCGACUGUAAGGUGGUCGACGGAUAAGAGCUGGGCAAGACCGGUGCCAGCCGCCGCGGUAAUACCGGCAGCUCAAGUGGUGUCCCAUAUUAUUGGGCCUAAAGCGUCCGUAGCUGGCCGACCAAGUCUACCGGGAAAUCCACCCGCCCAACGGGUGGGCGUCCGGUAGAAACUGGCCGGCUUGGAACCGGAAGGCUCAGAGAGUACGUCCGGGGUAGGAGUGAAAUCCCGUAAUCCCGGACGGACUACCGAUGGCGAAAGCACUCUGAGAAGACGGCUUCGACAGUGAGGGACGAAAGCUCGGGUCUCAAGCCGGAUUAGAUACCCGGGUAGUC
rnacentral:rRNA from 1 species